CAGCAGCAUCCAUCUCUUGAUACCAGUUGGUCCAAUUUCACAGCAGAAUGGGCCCAAGAGCACCAUCGGAUCACACAAACACUGAACUAAGCGAGAGCUCAUCUGCUGAGGUUGCUGAACGAUGCACUUUUCACGCCAGACUCCUCAAGGAGGAAAAUCCCAUCAUCCAGAGUGGAGCGGCACCGACACCGCCCCGAGGAAGACACUGAUCAGCUCCUUUUCAGAUGGGCAGAGCGUCUCCUCACCCACAGGAAGACGAGCCGCUCCCCGAUUACAGCAGCGUCUCACAUCAAAGGGGUGCUCCGCUAACACUUUAGCAUUCUGCUAACCUUUUUCUGUUCCAAAUCUCCAUGGUAACAUCACUUCUAACUGCCAGGGCGAUUAAAAAUACGACUUUACAGACGACUUUUGCUAUAUUUGAUGUUUGGCCGUUAUGUUACAUCAUGUGGCCUAUAAUUUGGCUUGACUCAUUAAAAUUGCUGCUACUCCACCAGGACCCCCCCCAUUCCUCAUAUCACAGGUCAAAUCUCCAAACACCAUUUUCCAUGAUUUAUGCACAGAAACAUGCAAGAGGUCAACCAUUUAGCCCUCCAGAAGCUGAAAGCAUGGCAAUUAUGACCGUUAAAGUGCAAUGGAUGCAUAGUGUUAAGGAUUUGUGUCUACUCAUAUUAACCUCUGAGAAAAUAGGAAACGCCAAAUGUUACUGGUAAAUAAGAAAAACACCUAAAAUCAAACGUUUUACAAAAUAAAAAAAGACAAAAAA